AACACAUGCAAGUCGAACGAGAAAGUGGAGCAAUCCAUGAGUACAGUGGCGUACGGGUGAGUAACACGUGACUAACCUACCCUCGAGUGGGGAAUAACUUCGGGAAACCGAGGCUAAUACCGCAUAACAUCUACGGAUCAAAUGCGUAAGCAGCUUGAGGAGGGGGUCGCGGCUGAUUAGCUAGUUGGCGGGGUAAUGGCCCACCAAGGCAGUGAUCAGUAGCCGGCCUGAGAGGGCGCACGGCCACACUGGAACUGAAACACGGUCCAGACUCCUACGGGAGGCAGCAGUGGGGAAUUUUGCGCAAUGGGGGAAACCCUGACGCAGCAACGCCGCGUGGAGGAUGAAGCCCUUUGGGGUGUAAACUCCUUUCGAUCGGGACGAUUAUGACGGUACCGGAUGAAGAAGCACCGGCUAACUCUGUGCCAGCAGCCGCGGUAAUACAGAGGGUGCAAGCGUUGUUCGGAAUUAUUGGGCG
rnacentral:rRNA from 1 species